rnacentral:rRNA from 1 species
GUUUGAUCAUGGCUCAGGAUAAACGCUGGCGGCGUGCAUGAGACAUGCAAGUCGAACGAACGAGCUUGCUCGUUAGUGGCGGACGGCUGAGUAACGCGUGGGUGACCUGCCCCGAAGUGGGGGAUAACUGCCCGAAAGGGUGGCUAAUACCGCAUGUGGCGACGACUUCAUUGACGUCAUCAAGGCCGCGAGGCGCUUCGGGAGGGGCCUGCGUCCGAUUAGCUCGUUGGUGGGGUAAUGGCUCACCAAGGCGACGAUCGGUAGGUGGUCUGAGAGGACGAUCACCCAGACUGGGACUGAGACACGGCCCAGACUCCUACGGGAGGCAGCAGUCGGGAAUUUUGCUCAAUGGGCGCAAGCCUGAAGCAGCAACGCCGCGUGAGGGAUGAAUGCCCUCGGGUUGUAAACCUCUUUUCUCAGGGACGAUGAUGACGGUACCUGAGGAAUAAGUCACGGCUGACUACGUGCCAGCAGCCGCGGUAAUACGUAGGUGACCAGCGUUGUCCGGAUUUACUGGGCGUAAAGAGCGCGCAGGCGGUCGUUCAAGUCGAGUGUGAAAGCCCCCGGCUCAACUGGGGAGGGUCACUCGAUACUGAUCGACUUGAAGGCAGGAGAGGGAAGCGGAAUUCCCGGUGUAGUGGUGAAAUGCGUAGAUAUCGGGAGGAACACCAGUGGCGAAGGCGGCUUCCUGGCCUGUUCUUGACGCUGAGGCGCGAAAGCUAGGGGAGCAAACGGGAUUAGAUACCCCGGUAGUCCUAGCCGUAAACGAUGGACACUAGGUGUUACAGAGUAUCAACCCCACCAGUGCCGAAGCUAACGCAUUAAGUGUCCCGCCUGGGGAGUACGGCCGCAAGGCUAAAACUCAAAUGAAUUGACGG